AAGUUACAAUGUUGUCAUUACAUAUUUUUACCAAGACAAAUGUUAUAUUAUAAUCCAAUAGCAGAUAUCUUUUUUGGAAGCCAAAAAUGGUAAAUAAUAAAGGCAGCAGUAGUGUUCAGUUGUACCCUAAAAUAAAUUUUCUUUUUUUGGUGAAAAAUUAUUUGUCUUUUUUUUUUUGUGUGAAAGGGCAUUUGUUUAGCUUGUCCUUUAAGUAAUGUGCAAAGGCAGUGUGGCAUGCAUCAAAGAGAAGAUGUUCAGUACUCUGCCAUUCAAUUCCUUAGGAAGGAUAACAACAACAGAAGGAUAAUACUACCCCGACAAUGUUCACUGAAAUUAAUAAUGAUGAUGAUAAGAAAGAAAGUUCAACGAAAUAAACCACUCGAACAUCAUUGAUCUCGCCUCUCCUCCACAUAGCUUCGAUCGUCACAGCUUCAUCGUAAGCAUGCCUUGAAAGCGGGUUUCCUCACCACAAUGAAAUACAGCAGCACAGUAGUGACCUGUAUGAUGAGCAUAUAAGCCUGGGCGAGCCCGAUUCGCAGGUUGUUCCGACCUGAGAGACAUAAAUAUGCAGACGCAAGUCUCUCAGCUGUCUGAGUCCCAUCCUUGCCGGCGGCAUCACCGAGGGCCUCGAACCCAUUCUCCACGGCACGAAGCUCCUGCACUAUCCAGUCCCGGGUGUUAAACAGCAUCUCCUGCUGAGCUGCAUCGUGGAAUGCAGCGGAGCAAGCCGAGGAGAAAGACUUUGGGCCAGCUCGCGACGGCCGAUCUCACCAUCCAGGCUACGAGGAACAUCUCGAUUGGGGCCACAACGUCGCGUCACCCCCGCCGGGGACGAAGACCAGGAAAAGAAAGCUGGUGAUGGUGGCAAGUGAGGCGAUGGUCUGCCUCACCUUGCCGAGAUUCCUCACCGCGAUAUCCUCCCCGACUCUCAAGGAGUCCUUCCCUCAUCAGUUCAUCGAGCCUGGUCCAGAGUCUGUCCGCAGCUGCCAUAUUGAUGUUCUUUUUCUAAGAAGAAGAAGAAGAAGAAGAAGAAGAGCAGAGCUAGCUAGCUGUUCCACACCACUGAGCGCAGGCUGAGGAUGAGGGCUGAGGCUCUGGCUCGGUCAGAGAGAAGCAAGGCAACAGGACAGCAGCAGCAGCAGCAAAUCUUUCCAUAACAAGGAAAAGAGGAUUCGUUUUUCUUCUCCCCUUCCCCUCUGCGAGCCCUCUCUCUCUCUCUCUCUCUCUCUCUCUCUCUCUCUCUAUGUACAAGAAAUGAAAUGGGGCAGAGCUGCUGCAGAUAUUCAUAUAUAUGGUUAGAGAACCCUUUGGUCCAAAAAGCUGGAAGAUGAAGAAGGCAGGGAGAGGGCUGUCUCCUGUCCUCCUCCUGUCACCUUGCGGACAUCGAGAGAGAGAGAGAGAGAGAGAGAGAGAGAGAGAGAGGGCAUUUCUUCUUGAAAUUUUUCAUGUGAACUUUGGAACUCAAGUAUGUUUUAGGAAUAGGAAUAAACACAGACAAAGUUCCUUACCUGCAACUUUCAUGAAUGAAUUGAUGAUUAAUAAUUAGUUUUGUUUUGUUCU